rnacentral:rRNA from 1 species
GACGAACGCUGGCGGCGUGCUUAACACAUGCAAGUCGAACGGAAAGGCCUGCUUUCCCUUGUGGAUUGCGGGUACUCGAGUGGCGAACGGGUGAGUAACACGUGAGUGAUCUGCCCCCAACUUGGGUAUAAGCCUGGGAAACUGGGUCUAAUUCCCGAUAGGACUGCAGGGUGGUGCCUGUGGUGGAAAACGAUUUUCUAGUGGUUGGGGAUGAGCUCGCGGCCUAUCAGCUUGUUGGUGGGGUAAUGGCCUACCAAGGCGGCGACGGGUAGCCGGCCUGAGAGGGUGGACGGCCGAAUUGGGACGGGGAUACGGCCCAGACUACUACGGGAGGAAGCAGUGGGGAAUAUUGCACAAUGGGCGGAAGCCUGAUGCAGCGACGCCGCGUGGGGGAUGACGGCCUUCGGGUUGUAAACUCCUUUCGACCGCGAGGAAGCCACCUGGUUGGAAGGGUGGUGACGGUAGUGGUAGAAGAAGCACCGGCUAACUACGUG